UACAGAGGUCUCAAGCGUUGUUCGGAUUCAUUGGGCGUAAAGGGUGUGUAGGUGGCGCUGUAAGUCGAGUGUGAAAUUUCGGAGCUUAACUCCGAAACUGCAUUCGAUACUGCGGUGCUUGAGGACUGGAGAGGAGACUGGAAUUCAUGGUGUAGCAGUGAAAUGCGUAGAGAUCAUGAGGAAGACCAGUGGCGAAGGCGGGUCUCUGGACAGUUCCUGACACUGAGACACGAAGGCCAGGGGAGCAAACGGG
rnacentral:rRNA from 1 species